GGGUAUAGCUCAGUUGGUAGAGCGGCGGUCUCCAAAACCGCAGGUCGCGGGUUCGAGCCCUGCUGCCC
rnacentral:tRNA from 2 species